AUGGAAGAGGACAGGAGCAGGCGAGAAGAGGAGAAGGCUGGCGGUGGGAUCGACGACGACAUGGUAGAGGAGAGGAGGAGGCGAGUGGAGAGACGAGGCCGGCCGGCGUCUGCUGGCGAGGAGAGGAUCAUGGGGAUCGAGGGAGGGGUGCGGCGGCUCGUGGGGAUCGAGAGGAAAGAGAAAGAGGGCUAG
rnacentral:rRNA from 1 species